UGGGGAAUAUUGCACAAUGGGCGCAAGCCUGAUGCAGCGACGCCGCGUGCGGGAUGGAGGCCUUCGGGUUGUAAACCGCUUUUGUUCAAGGGCAAGGCAGGCUUUCGGGCCUGUUGAGUGGAUUGUUCGAAUAAACACCGGCUAACUACGUGCC
rnacentral:rRNA from 1 species